rnacentral:SRP_RNA from 1 species
GGCUGGGGUAGGGCUGGGAGGGUAGCCGCCUCCUAAUUCCGGAAGGCUAAAGCCGGGGCCAGUAAUCCCCGAGGGCGGUGUCCCGAAGCACGCCACGGGGUUGGAGUGGAACCUGAUGAAGCUUCGCCUCAGGGGGCCUGCGGAGGGGGCGUUCCCUUGGAGAAGGGACUCCGACCCCCUUGCCAGCGAAACCGGCCAGGCUCGGAAGAGAGCAGCCGUAAGCUGGACGCUAGGUGCUCCUGAGCAACGAGGCUGAAGAGUCCCCCAACUCACGGGCGUGCCUAGGGUCAUCCACCUCGGGGAAGCCCAGCC